rnacentral:misc_RNA from 1 species
UGCUAUUGUGCCUGCUCUUUCUAAAGAAAUCAGUGGGAGUCAAAAUAGUAAUCUACAAGUUUGUUAUUCCAUUACAUGGCAAGUGGUCCGUUGUCCAUUGGGGAAGGCUGGAUUGAAUUGUACCUCAGAAAGUAUAUGUUCUUGAGACAGUUCUCAGGAGAGAUUCCUCCCCUUUUGAAUCCUAUUAUUUGCCACUUGGUGGAAAAGUGUUGCCAGAUUCAGCUAAUUUUCCUAUUGAGCCCCUUUCAAGCAAUGCCACAUACGGUGGAGAAUCAAAUAAUUCUUGGACUUACUUUCUUUUGAACAUUCCCCGCGGUGCAGCUGGAGGAAACAUCCAUGUCCGACUAACAUCAGAUACAAAGAUAAAUUAUGAAAUAUAUGCUAGAGUUGGUGGAUCCCCAUCUCUUGACAAUUGGGACUAUUAUUAUGCAAACAGGACAAGAAGCAGUGAUGGUUCUGCAUUUUUCUUGUUGUAUAAUUCAAGUGAAGAAAAAGUUGAUUUUUACAUCCUAUAUGUUCAAGAAGGAACUUGGGCUUUUGGAUUGAGGCAUUUAAAUACCACCAAUAGCCCUUCAAAUGACCAGACUAUCAUGUCUGUUUCAGUUGAGAGAUGCCCAAGAAGAUGCUCCUCUCAUGGGGAGUGCAAAGUAGCUUUGGAUGCCAGUGGAUUGACAUCAUACAGCUUUUGCUCUUGUGAUCGAACUCAUGGAGGUUUUGACUGUAGCAUCGAAAUUGUAUCGCAUCGAGGCCACAUACAGCAAUCAAUUGCUCUUAUUGCAUCAAAUGCUGCAGCUGUGCUUCCUGCAUAUUGGGCUCUUCGGCAAAAGGCUUUUGCAGAAUGGGUGCUGUUCACAUCUAGUGGAAUUUCAAGUGGGUUAUAUCAUGCCUGUGAUGUAGGCACUUGGUGUGCAUUAUCAUUUAGUGUCUUACAGUUCAUGGACUUUUGGCUUUCAUUCAUGGCUGUGGUGAGCACCUUUGUAUACUUAACUACCAUUGAUGAAGUGUAUAAAAGGACAAUUCAGACAGUUGUUGCCAUUCUUACAGCCCUCAUGGCUAUAACUAAGGCUACCAGGUCUUCCAACAUCAUUCUUGUGAUGUCAAUUGGGGCACUUGGUCUUCUUAUUGGAUGGCUAAUAGAGUUCUCCACCCACAUUAGGUCACUUUCCUUUUCAACAGAAUUCUGUCUGAAUAUACCCACCAGAUGGCAAACAAUUAGGGGAUGGUUCAAUAAUUUAAUCAAGACACUUUGGAGAAGAUUUCGGUGGGGUUUUGUACUUGCGGGGUUUACUGCACUGACUAUGGCGGCCAUAAGCUGGAAACUGGAAAGCAGUGAAAGCUACUGGAUAUGGCACAGUUUAUGGCACGUCACUAUAUAUUCGUCUUCCUUCUUCUUCCUUUGUUCAAAAGUAGACACUGUAAAUAGUGAGAAUCAAAGACCUCCAGAUGGAAAUUAUGCAUUAACUCGACAGGAUUCAUUUCCCCGAGGUGAAUAGGAAGGGAACAGAGAUAUUUUUGCAAAAUUUAGCUCUCAACCUCUAAGAAAAUAAGUUGGUUGUCAAGGCCUGGAGGAAAAUUGGUUUUUUUUUCUUUUUUAGUAUAUCGGGAGAGUGGGGACUUGAACUUGACCCUGACAGGUGAGUGUUAUGUCUUCAGUUACUGUGCCAUGUCAGUCUAAGCAAGAAAAAUUAGUUGUUAAUGCUGAAUAAGACUUGUUCAGCAGACAAAGUAGCUCUUGCCAGAGUAAAAUGAAAGCAACAGCUAAAGCAGUCCGUUGCUAAUUAUUUCUGUUCUAUGUCCCCAUUUUUCAGUUGGCAAUUUUGUUUUAACAUUUAUGUAAAUUUUGUGUAAAGGCUUGGUAAAUUAGGUAAGAGGAUGGAUUGUAGUGUUACCUAUAAGUUUUAAAGGGGGAAUAGAGCGGGACGUGAUAAAGGUCAAGGUGCUUCGUUUGUGUACAGGUUGCUUGUUUCAGUAUUGAUUAGAAUUUUAUUGUUUGUUUAAAUUGUGUUAUAGUGGCUUCUGUGGCCUUAUUGUCAAGUGCUUAUAGCAAAGUCUGUAUGUGACGGUACAUGUUCUCAUUUGAUUAGACAAGGUUGCUGAUUAAAAAAACUAUUAAAUUACUGUAAUUUAUAGGAAUUCGAAUUCUAGAUUAAAACUGAAACA